ACGGGUACGGGGAUUAGGGUUCGAUUCCGGAGAGGGAGCCUGAGAAACGGCUACCACAUCCAAGGAAGGCAGCAGGCGCGCAAAUUACCCAAUCCCGACACGGGGAGGUAGUGACAAUAAAUACUGAUACAGGGCUCUUUUGGGUCUUGUAAUUGGAAUGAGUACAAUUUAAAUCCCUUAACGAGGAACAAUUGGAGGGCAAGUCUGGUGCCAGCAGCCGCGGUAAUA
rnacentral:rRNA from 1 species